AUGAUCAUGCCCAUCGUCUGCUCCGGCAUCUUCCUCAUCAUCAUGUCCCGCAUCUUCUACAUGAUGACUGUGUACAGCAUCACCGUCGUGAUCAUCUCCUGGGGAUUCUUCGUCUUCUCGCCCGCCCGAGCCGCGGUGGUUGUCUUGCUGCCCUUCCUCAUUUCUUGCCCGGCCCCCAUGGACGACUUCGUAGUCAUCUUCAUCACCUUACCACCGAUAGCCAUCCAUGAAACCACGCAAGAGCAGGUGGUCCCGCACCUGCCCGGAUUCCGGGUCCGCAAUAAGGCUCUUCAGCUUGCAUCUUCGACACGGACAUCUUAUCUCUGUCUCGUUCUUUUGAAGCAUCUCGGCCUUCGCGGACCUCAAAAACCUAUUCACGAUGCCUUCGGUCAUCGUGCGGACCAUGGUCGCCUGCGGGGUAGAGCAAAACGAUAUUUUAGAACCAAGAAAAAAUUUGGCAUGACUUUUCCUAAAAAUAGGACCAAAAAUAAUGCUUAA
rnacentral:rRNA from 1 species